rnacentral:rRNA from 1 species
CUGUAGGUUGAGGAGGCAUUGACCGUGGUGGUGGAGGAGGAGAAUGAGGUAGCCAACACUAUUUUAAUUGGGGUAGCCCCCAAAAUAUUGGGACAUAUAAAAAAGACAACUCUGUUCCACAGAGUAGCUGUUGACAUUAUAGUUGCGCAGAGAACCUCGGGCCAAUCGUACAUCCCCGUGGCGGCAACUUUUCAUGCAGAUGUCAUCCAUAUGAACUUUCGAUUCCAGUUUCUGCACCUACCAUGGUGACCACGGGUAACAGGGAAUCAGGGUUCCAUUCCGUACAGGUAACCUGCGAAACGGCUACCACAUGCAAGGAAGG